rnacentral:misc_RNA from 1 species
UCUCCGUAGGUGAACCUGCGGAGGGAUCAUUACAGAGUUCAUGCCCUAACGGGUAGAUCUCCCACCCCAUGUUAUAAUACUAUGUUGCUUUGGCGGGACGUCAGGUCCGCUUGGCCACGGGCUCCGGCUCGUGCGCGCCCGCCAGAGGACCCCAAACUCUGUUUUUUAGUGUCGUCUGAGUACUAUAUAAUAGUUAAAACUUUCAACAACGGAUCUCUUGGUUCUGGCAUCGAUGAAGAACGCAGC